rnacentral:rRNA from 1 species
GAUUAAGUUAUUAAGGGCGCACGGUGGAUGCCUUGGCACUAGAAGCCGAUGAAGGACGUUACUAACGACGAUAUGCUUUGGGGAGCUGUAAGUAAGCUUUGAUCCAGAGAUUUCCGAAUGGGGAAACCCAGCAUGAGUUAUGUCAUGUUAUCGAUAUGUGAAUACAUAGCAUAUCAGAAGGCACACCCGGAGAACUGAAACAUCUUAGUACCCGGAGGAAGAGAAAGAAAAUUCGAUUCCCUUAGUAGCGGCGAGCGAAACGGGAAGAGCCCAAACCAACAAGCUUGCUUGUUGGGGUUGUAGGACACUCUAUACGGAGUUACAAAGGACGACAUUAGACGAAUCAUCUGGAAAGAUGAAUCAAAGAAGGUAAUAAUCCUGUAGUCGAAAAUGUUGUCUCUCUUGAGUGGAUCCUGAGUACGACGGAGCACGUGAAAUUCCGUCGGAAUCUGGGAGGACCAUCUCCUAAGGCUAAAUACUCUCUAGUGACCGAUAGUGAACCAGUACCGUGAGGGAAAGGUGAAAAGCACCCCGGAAGGGGAGUGAAAUAGAACCUGAAACCGUGUGCUUACAAGUAGUCAGAGCCCGUUAAUGGGUGAUGGCGUGCCUUUUGUAGAAUGAACCGGCGAGUUACGAUUUGAUGCAAGGUUAAGCAGUAAAUGUGGAGCCGUAGCGAAAGCGAGUCUGAAUAGGGCGUUUAGUAUUUGGUCGUAGACCCGAAACCAGGUGAUCUACCCUUGGUCAGGUUGAAGUUCAGGUAACACUGAAUGGAGGACCGAACCGACUUACGUUGAAAAGUGAGCGGAUGAACUGAGGGUAGCGGAGAAAUUCCAAUCGAACCUGGAGAUAGCUGGUUCUCUCCGAAAUAGCUUUAGGGCUAGCCUCAAGUGAUGAUUAUUGGAGGUAGAGCACUGUUUGGACGAGGGGCCCCUCUCGGGUUACCGAAUUCAGACAAACUCCGAAUGCCAAUUAAUUUAACUUGGGAGUCAGAACAUGGGUGAUAAGGUCCGUGUUCGAAAGGGAAACAGCCCAGACCACCAGCUAAGGUCCCAAAAUAUAUGUUAAGUGGAAAAGGAUGUGGCGUUGCCCAGACAACUAGGAUGUUGGCUUAGAAGCAGCCAUCAUUUAAAGAGUGCGUAAUAGCUCACUAGUCGAGUGACACUGCGCCGAAAAUGUACCGGGGCUAAACAUAUUACCGAAGCUGUGGAUUGUCCUUUGGACAAUGGUAGGAGAGCGUUCUAAGGGCGUUGAAGCAUGAUCGUAAGGACAUGUGGAGCGCUUAGAAGUGAGAAUGCCGGUGUGAGUAGCGAAAGACGGGUGAGAAUCCCGUCCACCGAUUGACUAAGGUUUCCAGAGGAAGGCUCGUCCGCUCUGGGUUAGUCGGGUCCUAAGCUGAGGCCGACAGGCGUAGGCGAUGGAUAACAGGUUGAUAUUCCUGUACCACCUAUAAUCGUUUUAAUCGAUGGGGGGACGCAGUAGGAUAGGCGAAGCGUGCGAUUGGAUUGCACGUCUAAGCAGUAAGGCUGAGUAUUAGGCAAAUCCGGUACUCGUUAAGGCUGAGCUGUGAUGGGGAGAAGACAUUGUGUCUUCGAGUCGUUGAUUUCACACUGCCGAGAAAAGCCUCUAGAUAGAAAAUAGGUGCCCGUACCGCAAACCGACACAGGUAGUCAAGAUGAGAAUUCUAAGGUGAGCGAGCGAACUCUCGUUAAGGAACUCGGCAAAAUGACCCCGUAACUUCGGGAGAAGGGGUGCUCUUUAGGGUUAACGCCCAGAAGAGCCGCAGUGAAUAGGCCCAAGCGACUGUUUAUCAAAAACACAGGUCUCUGCUAAACCGUAAGGUGAUGUAUAGGGGCUGACGCCUGCCCGGUGCUGGAAGGUUAAGAGGAGUGGUUAGCUUCUGCGAAGCUACGAAUCGAAGCCCCAGUAAACGGCGGCCGUAACUAUAACGGUCCUAAGGUAGCGAAAUUCCUUGUCGGGUAAGUUCCGACCCGCACGAAAGGCGUAACGAUUUGGGCACUGUCUCAACGAGAGACUCGGUGAAAUCAUAGUACCUGUGAAGAUGCAGGUUACCCGCGACAGGACGGAAAGACCCCGUGGAGCUUUACUGUAGCCUGAUAUUGAAAUUCGGCACAGCUUGUACAGGAUAGGUAGGAGCCUUUGAAACGUGAGCGCUAGCUUACGUGGAGGCGCUGGUGGGAUACUACCCUAGCUGUGUUGGCUUUCUAACCCGCACCACUUAUCGUGGUGGGAGACAGUGUCAGGCGGGCAGUUUGACUGGGGCGGUCGCCUCCUAAAAGGUAACGGAGGCGCUCAAAGGUUCCCUCAGAAUGGUUGGAAAUCAUUCAUAGAGUGUAAAGGCAUAAGGGAGCUUGACUGCGAGACCUACAAGUCGAGCAGGGUCGAAAGACGGACUUAGUGAUCCGGUGGUUCCGCAUGGAAGGGCCAUCGCUCAACGGAUAAAAGCUACCCCGGGGAUAACAGGCUUAUCUCCCCCAAGAGUUCACAUCGACGGGGAGGUUUGGCACCUCGAUGUCGGCUCAUCGCAUCCUGGGGCUGUAGUCGGUCCCAAGGGUUGGGCUGUUCGCCCAUUAAAGCGGUACGCGAGCUGGGUUCAGAACGUCGUGAGACAGUUCGGUCCCUAUCCGUCGUGGGCGUAGGAAAUUUGAGAGGAGCUGUCCUUAGUACGAGAGGACCGGGAUGGACAUACCUCUGGUGUACCAGUUGUCGUGCCAACGGCAUAGCUGGGUAGCUAUGUAUGGACGGGAUAAGUGCUGAAAGCAUCUAAGCAUGAAGCCCCCCUCAAGAUGAGAUUUCCCAACUUCGGUUAUAAGAUCCCUCAAAGAUGAUGAGGUUAAUAGGUUCGAGGUGGAAGCAUGGUGACAUGUGGAGCUGACGAAUACUAAUCGAUCGAAGACUUAAUCAA